AUACGUAGGGGGCGAGCGUUGUCCGGAAUUACUGGGCGUAAAGGGUGCGUAGGUGGCCUUUUAAGUUGGAUGUGAAAUACCCGGGCUUAACUUGGGGGGUGCAUCUAAUACUGGAGGGCUAGAGUGCAGGAGAGGAAAGCGGAAUUCCUAGUGUAGCGGUGAAAUGCGUAGAUAUUAGGAGGAACACCAGUGGCGAAGGCGGCUUUCUGGACUGUAACUGACACUGAGGCACGAAAGCGUGGGGAGCAAACAGGAUUAGAUACCCUGGUAGUCCACGCGGUAAACGAUGAAUACUAGGUGUAGGGGGUAUCAACUCCCCCUGUGCCGGAGCUAACGCAAUAAGUAUUCCGCCUGGGGAGUACGGCCGCAAGGUUGAA
rnacentral:rRNA from 1 species